rnacentral:snoRNA from 1 species
GGUCACUCUACCCUAGGGCUGUAGGGGGUCCCAUUUCUCCUUAGUCAAUGAUGGAGGCCAAGAUUGGCCCUUAAGGGCCACCAUAAGGACUGCCAUGAGCUGGGCAACCUUGUUUUCCUACUGCAGACAUUU